CCACCACACCCAAACGCAUCUAGGCAAAGUGUGGAGCCGACCAGGCGGGUUUUCCUCCUUCUCGCAACUCCUCCUCCUGCCCCCCUCCCUCCCAAAUCUCAUCUGAGUGAGUCAGCUGAGGGUGGCAGCUCAGAAGUGAGGCAGCCGUGAGGCGGAGGACAGGCUGGGGGAUCCCAAAGGGUCCGCUCCAGCCCCCAACCCAGGCACUGGGACUCUGGUGGCACCCUGGGUGGCAGGCAAGCCUUGAAAUCAAGUGCACGAGCCUUGGAAAGGAGGACCGGGAGAGUUAUGGCAUUUAUGAAUAAAGAAGAGAAAGAGAAUCACUCGGAUGGGAAAAGUUAACUGGAUUGUUCCCACCUGCAUGGAUCACCGGGAUGAAGCUGUGCCACCCUGUAGGAAUUAGAAGACCACGUCCAGGAAUUGAGCAUCGGGUGCAGGAUCCAGUCUUCUGAGGCCCUGAAACCACAUGUGGUCCUAAUAUGCUAUUUAGAAAAUACAAAGUGGAAAGAAGAAAAAUGAAAGUCACGCAUCGUCCUUCAACCCAGGGACAACUCCUGCUAACACUCGGAUGGAUGAAUUUUACAUAUACAUAUAAAUAUUCUCAUCUACAGUCAAAUUUAAUAAUGUGAAUGCCUUAAUAAACCACUAAUUCCUCAAUUUCAUCUUUUGGGUUAAUUUCCUAGUCUUUAAGGAACUGUUAGAUGCAAUGCUACCGGUAGUAGGGGAAGGACACGAAAAAAGAAAUCUUAUUUUUUGGCCAAAAUAUCCUGCAUAUUGGAUUUGCCUUUGUUUUGUUUUGUUUUGCUUUGAGCCUUCUGCCUUCUUAGGCAGCUGUUUGUAUACUUUCCUCUGCUUUGGAUUUCAGUCUGGAAGCAGCACAUUGAUUUUAAACAGAAAUACCUUAAAAGAGGUGGUGGUUGGGGGUUUACAAUCCCCCCACCAUCAGCUUGCAAGUGGUUCUGUUCCGGCUGGCACGUUACACCAGUAAGAGGCUUGGUGUAUCACCCAGGGAGCAGGUUAGCUAAAUUCAAGGUGAACAGACGGCAUUCUCUGUUUCUCUUCUGGCUGUCUGCCUAGUUUGGGGUCUUGGGGAAUUGGAGAAGCAAAAUUUGGGGGCUGGGAUCUUACAAGUGCUCACAGCACAACCCAAGCCUAAGACCUUAUUUUUCCCUUCCUUCCCUCUUCUUUUUUUUUCAGUUUACAAUUAACACUCAGGGUUUAGUCUCCACCCCUCCCUCUUGAAAUAGAAUUUUUAUCUCUUGAUUCAUGCUACAAGAUAAAAUCCAUGUUUAUCCAGUUGCAUGAAUAAUUGAUAAGCUCUUUCCAACUUGCCAGAAGCAACUUAGCCGUCUCGCCUUGCGGCCUGGAAGCCCUGGCAAUUUCCGGAGCACCGGCAAGAGACUUUUGCACAGUUUCUGCUUGGAGUCUACCGACUGUCUGUCUCAGAGGUCUGGACAGCUGCUUGUUACAUUUGGCUCACGCUAGCUUUAAAAAGGAAUGUAUGGACCUUACUGCAGAACGUCCCAAUUCUUCAGGCCAAGGUAAAUGCAAGUUGGGGUGGUAGUGAAGUUGCAAACUGCUCCUAAGAAAAAAAGUUAACAAGAUAUUGUUCCUUCCACCCCCGGCCUCCCGUUGGUUCCCCCACCCCAAGAGCCUUCCCACCAGGCUUCAGGGUGACAAACGCUUGGAUUUGAUGGGGCUGAGACUUGCUUGUGCCUUUGUUGAUGGCAGGGCACUUUUAUUGAAACUUGUUGAAAGGAGCUAGCUUCGAAGGCUCCUCCAAGACUCUACACCACAGGGGGAAGCAGGACUUUGAUUUAAGAUACUCACAUCUAUCAACCACAGGCAUUCAUUCAGUUUUCUCUUUCAUUUGGGGAAGGAAGGGAGAAAAUGAAUCAGAGGCUGAUUUUUUUUUUCUGGCCUGUUUUCCCCAAGCUCCAGGAAAUUAAGAAACAUGCCAUUAGUUUUAGCAAACAAUUUAAACAAAGUAAAACCAGAUCUCCCACCAAGGCCGAGGACCAUGAGGGGUCUGAGUGCCCCUGGCCCUGUUUGUGGACUCUGCGGGUCAUGGAGGAGCCAUGAAGUGGGAAGAGAGCUUGGGUGAUACAGGAUGGUGUGCGUGACAGUCCUCCCUGUGUCUUCUUUGCUACCAUAUUUAUCAUAGCUUAGAUGUGUGUGGCCUGGUGGCACCAAAGGUGAACAGAAAGCAUUUUUGGGGCGCCAUGGCCCAGACCUUAGCCUGAACGUUGUGGGAAGCCAGUGGGUGUCUGCAUGUGUUGGCGAGAACCAGUGGACAUCUCCUUGGAAGCCAGUCCCCAAGGUGGCUCUAGAUGGCUUACUCCUGCAUCUUGCCAAAUCCACAGGGUCCAGCUGUGUCUCCAGGGCUGCGUGGCUUAUUGAAAAAGAGAGUGUGUGGUGGAUUUCAAUAUCUAUAUUCUACAAAAAAUGUAAAAGGGGCAGGGGACGGGAACAAAGAAACCAGUGCUGGUGAUCCUGCCCCCACAGUAAGUUCUGCUUUAGUGUGGACAUGGGACAGGGGCCAGCCCCUGCUGCUCCCUGGGGGAACACAGGUCCGUGGGGGUGGCUCACCGUCAUGUAUGUGAUUUUGAUGUUUGUACAUUUGUUGUACCACAUGAACCAGUCUUGGACGGCUGUUCUGAGUAAAUGGGAUGAUGUGGGUAAAGCCCCCAAGACCAGAGCCUGGCACAGGGCCGUGCUGGAUAAUGCUGACUCAUGGUGAUGAGGGGAAGGAGGAGGCAGGAUGCCAUGGGUGAGGAGUCCAGGCUCCAGUGCUGCUGAACCACCAUCCACCAGUAUGAUCUCAGCAAGCCUCUCUCCACCUGGACCCAGAUGAUUCACCCGUUAAACAUCCCAGGCACAUUGAAGGGAGAUGAACAGUGUCCAGCAUGGUCCUCAGCUGUGAGAAGCCAUACACUCACCUUUUCCACCCUACAACUUUCCGUCAUCUGGGGUGCAGGUUUCUUUCCUCUCUUUUUCCUUAUUACAAGGUAAAAUACAGUCUUAUUACAGAAAACUAGAAACCAGAAAAGCCCAUCACACAGUCAUUCAUUCAACAAAUGCGUAUUGGGAAGGGUGGGGAUGAGCCCCUGGUGGAAAUGGGGUGAAGCCGUGGACUUUCUCUGGGUGCGAUGAAGGCUGACGGAGGGCUUUGAGCAUCCUCAAGAUUCAGAAGUCUGUUUUCAGUCAUCAGCAGCUGUACCAGGAGAGGAAGAACCUCUGAAGUGUUCUGGCUCCAAAAGCUAGUGAAAGUGCAGAUUUCCUGAGAAGGAGUGAAGCUUAGGGCCCUGCCAGGCAGUGAUGCUUUCUCAACUUUGGGGGCAGUAAAAUGUACAGACUCCGGCGAAGGAGACCAGGAAGGAGGCUGCAAAGUGUGCAUGCUCUGGGAAGGGGGCAGGGAAGGCUAGCAAAAAGCUGUUGGGGACCCAGCCAGGCUGCUUCCCUUGGAGGCCCAGCCUGAGAUGUGUUUCCCACCAUAUAUGGCAGAAAUGAUUUCAGGUGCUAUGUAGAUAAGCCACGAACUAUCACUGAAUCUUUUCUUGGUUGUAUUGUGAAAGAAAAAGUCUCUGUUGGGUGCUGGUGUAUCUUUGACACCACUUAACACUUGUCAAGCUCUCAUUUACUGAGGUAAAGCAGUCCUCAGGCUCAGAGCUUGUGACCAGGGAGUGGUAUCUAGCCAAAAUUUUAUUUCAAUGCUUUGUUUUCAUUGUCUUUAAAACAAAAGAUGGUUAUCUUCCAUUUGCCAUGAAAGAUACUGCUUCCCAUUUCUGUUUUUUACUCAUUUUUCAUUAAGGUAUAAUUUACAUGCAGUAAAGUCUCGUCUUUUUAGUGUACAGUUCUGUGGAAUUUCGAUAAAUGUAUCCAGUGUGCAACCAUCACAUCAAGAUAUAGAAGGGUUCCUUCACCCCUAAAUCCUUCCUUGGGGAUGACAACCUCUCUUCACCCUCAGUCCUUUGCAACUAAUAAUCUGUUUUCUUUUCCUAUAGUUUUGUCUUUUCUAGCAUGUCCCAUAAAUGGAAUCUUAUAGCAUGUAGCCUUUUGAGUCUUGCUUCUCUCACUUAGCCGAAUGCAUCUGAUAUCCAUUCACAUUGUGCCUGUAUCAGUAGUUCAUUCAUUUUUAAUAAUGAGUGGUGUUCAGUUGUAGGCCUACACUAUAAUUUGUAGAGGGACAUUAGGAUUGUUUCCAGAUUUGGCAGUUACAAAUAAAGCCCCUAUAAACAUUCACGUAGAAGUUUUUCAUGAGCAUGGGUUUUCAUUUCUCUUGGGUAAGUACCGAUAAGUAGGAUUGCUAAGUUGUCUAAUACAUGCAUGUUUAACUUUGUAAGAAAUGGCCAAGCUGUUUUUCAGAGUGGCUAUACUAUUCUGCAUUCCUACCAGCAACGUAUGAGAGUUCCAGUUGCUCCAUAUCCUCAUCAGCACUUGAUGUUGUCAGAUUUUUUUUUUGUUUUUGUUAGUCUAAUGGGUAUGUACUAGUAUCUCAUUGUGGUUUUAGUUUGUAUUUUCCUGAUGACUAAUGAUGUUUAACACCUUUUUAUGGGCUUAUUUAAAAUCACUAUAUUUUCUUUGGUGAAGAUUUCAAAUCUUUUGCCCAUUUUAAAAUUCGAAUUGUUUGUGUUUUAUUAUUGAACUUACUGAGUAUUUACAUAUUCUGGAUACAAGUUCUUUUCUAGAUAUGUUAUUAGCAAAUUAUUCUGCUAGCUUUCUUAUUAAUUUUCUUAAUGAUGUCUCUUGGAGAUUGUAUUAAUUAGUCUGUUCUCAUGCUGCUAAUAAAGACAUACCUGAGACUGAGUAAUUUAUAAAGGAAAGAGGUUUAAUUGACUCACAGUUCAGCAAGGCUGGGGGAGCCUCAGGAAAUGUACAAUCAUGAAGGAAGGGGAAGCAAAUAUGUCUUUCUUCACAUGGCAGCAGGAAGGAGAAAUGCCAAGCAAAAGGGGGAAAAGCCCCUUAUAAAACCAUCAGAUCUCGUGAGAACUCACUCACUAUCACAAGAGCAGCAGCAUGGAGGUAACUGCCCCCAUGAUUCAAUUACCUCCCACCAGAUCCCUCCCAUGACAUGUGGAGAUUUUGGGAACUACAAUUCAAGAUGAGAGCUGGGUGGGAACACAGCCAAACCAUAUCAGAGAUCAUAGGUUGUUAAUUUUGAUCAAGUAUAAUUUAUCAAUUUUUUCUUUUGUGGAUUAUAUUUUUGGGGCCAUAUCUGAGAAAUAUUUACUUAAUCUAGGGUCACAAAGAUUAUCUUCUAUGUUUUCUCCUGAAGGUUUUAUAGUUUAAAGUUUUACAUUGAAGUCUAUUAUCUAUUUUGAGUGAAUAUUUUGAUAUAGUGUGAUAUAUGAAUGGAGGUUCAUUUUAAAAAUAAAUAUCCAAUUAUUCCAACCCCAUUGGUUGAGAAGACUA